GACGGAGGGUGCAAGCGGUGUUCGGAAUCACUGGGCGUAAAGCGCGUGUAGGCGGUUUGAUAAGUCGAAUGUGAAAGCCCGAGGCUCAACCUCGGAAGUGCAUUCGAAACUGUCAGGCUUGAGUACGGGAGAGGGAAGUGGAAUUCCUGGUGUAGAGGUGAAAUUCGUAGAUAUCAGGAGGAACACCGGUGGCGAAGGCGGCUUCCUGGACCGAUACUGACGCUGAGACGCGAAAGCGUGGGGAGCAAACAGG
rnacentral:rRNA from 1 species